CCCUAAUUUCCCUUUCUUGUCUCCUUUAUCUCAUUCCCAUCACCCCUAUCAGUCCUAAAAACUGGCACAAAUUUGUGCAAGAUCACAAAUCCGACCUCAAAUCAUCAUUUUUGUCCCUACUGAACCGUGAAUCCCACCUGAACUUUCCCCUUUCGUUACCCUAAUUUGAAUCUCUAACCCAGAAGCCCUAGACCUAAAGGUGAAGCCUGGGAAUUCAUAUAUCCUUCCUUUGUUUCGUCGAAUUAGAGCAUGCCUGGUUAUUAUCUUCAGCUUCAGCUUCAUUAUUCAUUGUCCAGAGGUCAAACGCAGCGACCUCUAGACAUUAAGGCAUGACUGAUGGACCAAAAGCUUUAAUUGUCGACCUCCUCGUGCUCAGGACUUCUGAGUUCUUUAAACUUAAGCCCAAGCUCCAGCCUUGGUUGCUUUUCCUGGAGUCUGCUACUCGUGUGAAAAUCUUCAGGGCCUGACUAUCCAUUUGCACAAUAUUAAGAGUCCAGCCCUUUCCUCCCUCUCACAUUUUUAAAUGGAGACGUAGGCCAACCAAGUCUUACAGGUUCAAAACGAUAACCAAUUAUGUUUUGGAAUAUCAUCAUACGGGUCACGUAAAACACAACCAUUGCUCUAAAAAAUAAUAAAAGCAACCACGCACAACCAUUCUUACAAAUAAGCUUGAAACAUAUGGCAUUUCAACAAGAUGAGGUGGUUCCACAACAUGCGGCAUCCAUCAGCGAUAGCGGUACACCCUCUUCUCAGCUGACUUGGUGAGCCCGAUUUCAUAUCGGGAUCUUGAACCUUUUGCUCCUUAUGUACAGGGUUUUGAGAUAUAGCCGGAGCUUUGUUAACGACACCAUCAUAUUACUCUUUUGUAUCCAUUAGAGGCUCCGUAGACAUAGUGUGGGUUUGUAUCUUGGAUUGCAUAAAUCAACUUGAAACACUUGUUCCACUUCUAAAGCUACGAAUGUGUAAAAUAUUUUGGGAAAUCAUGAAUGAAGUUCUAAUGGUAAUGAAAUUGGUGUUGUUCAUGUA